rnacentral:lncRNA from 1 species
UCUGCAUUAAUUAUCUAGUAGUUUAAAUGUGACAGCAUUAUGUAUUUAUAGUGGUCAGAAAACUUGUCAUUAUCUUAACUAACUUUAUCUCAGUAAAGUAGCUCCAAGUAUUCUAAUUUAUAAUGAUAACAUAACAGAGACCCACAAUAUAGCUACUCAGUAAUGAAUGGUAUUUUACCCCAAUUAAAUCCAGAGUAUCUUUAAGAAUGACCACUGUGCAUGAAUAUGACACGUAUAACAUUGAGCAAUUACACUGCCAGCUCUUAGCAGUGUGAAAAAGAUUGUUUUGAAUGGGAUUGGAUCAACACAACUCAAUCCCCUCUGGUUUGCUAAACUAAAAAGAACGUGUUGUUUCAGAUCUGUUCAGCAGUUGUCUGUGUUGUCCUGUAGUGUCAUGGUACCUAACACCGUGGUGACCAAGAUCUGUACACAAUCAUCUCCUUAGCUGGGUUACAUUUCAAAGGAUGCAGCGGGGUGUCCUGUUUAGGGUGAACCUGGGGAUUCAUGUUGUGAGUAUUACACACUCAGAGCUUUCACUCCAUGAAGCUAUUCCUGGGAACGGAACGGUAUGAGUUUAAGCAUCUAUACAGAGCACCAUGGCAGAGUGUAUCAAAAUGACUACUGGAGAGGUGGCUGGGCAGAGGAGGUUGCAGUGAGUGACUCAGCUAAGAAAAGCCAAUCCGGUACCUGUGCCAGCAGUGAAAAUUGUGAGAAACUCCUCAGCCUGGUUUCCAGCUGCCCAGACUCAGAUCUGCAGGAGGACAUAGUGACUGCUUCCCGUGUUGCGUAUCUGGAUUUUCGUUGCAUGAGAACCAGGAAAGCAUGAAGCAGUGGCAGUGUCUGUUUGGCUCUUGCCCUGAAGUGGACACAGACAGAUCUAGGAAGCAUUCUGCUCUUCCCCACUAUCAACAUAAGUUUUGAAAUAUUAGGAUUUUUGUUUCAUGGUUUUAUUGUUUACUGAAAAAAAUCCCACUUUCUGAGUUCUGAAAUAAAUGCCAAGCUCUAUUAUUUAAUAACUGCG